CGGGAAGAGUGUGAGGACUUCUGCCCCUCUGAAAAAAAGAAGUGAAAUAUCAUAGAAGUGUGAAGCGUUCCAGGAAGAAAUGGUCAGCAGUCCUCAAGAAUGAGUUCCUGAACUUCUUACAUGGAAAUUUUACUGGUGCUGGGAGGAUGCUUUUGUCAUUUGAGGUAUGUGAAAUAUUCAUCCCGUGAUUGCGAGAUGAAAAUUUUUCAGAAAAAUUCCUUUAUUAUAUGCAGGCCAGUUUUCUAGUUUUU